rnacentral:rRNA from 1 species
UUGAACGCUGGCGGCAGGCCUAACACAUGCAAGUCGAGCGGAUGAAGGGAGCUUGCUCCUGGCUUCAGCGGCGGACGGGUGAGUAAUGCCUAGGAAUCUGCCUGGUAGUGGGGGAUAACGUCCGGAAACGGGCGCUAAUACCGCAUACGUCCUGAGGGAGAAAGUGGGGGAUCUUCGGACCUCACGCUAUCAGAUGAGCCUAGGUCGGAUUAGCUAGUUGGUGGGGUAAAGGCCUACCAAGGCGACGAUCCGUAACUGGUCUGAGAGGAUGAUCAGUCACACUGGAACUGAGACACGGUCCAGACUCCUACGGGAGGCAGCAGUGGGGAAUAUUGGACAAUGGUCGAAAGCCUGAUCCAGCCAUGCCGCGUGUGUGAAGAAGGUCUUCGGAUUGUAAAGCACUUUAAGUUGGGAGGAAGGGCAGUAAGUUAAUACCUUGCUGUUUUGACGUUACCAACAGAAUAAGCACCGGCUAACUUCGUG